UACGGAGGGUGCAAACGUUGCUCGGAAUCAUUGGGCGUAAAGCGCACGUAGGCGGCCUGUUAAGUCGGGUGUGAAAGCCCUGGGCUCAACCCAGGAAGUGCACUCGAAACUGGCGGGCUUGAAUAUGGAAGAGGGUCGCGGAAUUCCCGGUGUAGAGGUGAAAUUCGUAGAUAUUCGCAGGAACACCAGUGGCGAAGGCGGCUCACUGGUCCGAUACUGACGCUGAGGUGCGAAAGCGUGGGGAGCAAACAGG
rnacentral:rRNA from 1 species